rnacentral:misc_RNA from 1 species
CCUUGAUAGUGGCCGCUUGGAAGGUUUUAUGGGAAAACAAUUUGCCCACCAAAAUGUUUGGGUUUGAGGAUGUUUCGGUGUCCGUGGUUGGGGUUAGUUGAAGAAUAGGCUCCUCACACUUCAGAUUCUGAGCUUUGGAAAUAAGGGUGGAAACAUCCAUCUCACUAAUUGGCCAUAGUUGAGAAGGAAUAAAUGCAAAAGCAGGUCGACUAGGAAUUGGUUGUUGAGAAAAUAUAAAGAGGAAAGAUGAAGAAUGGUAGAAGUGAGGUUUUACUAGGAUAGAGAAGGAACCAUCUUACAAGUUAUCACCAAAAGUAGAAUGGGUAUCUCGGUGGGAGAAGAAGCAACACGAUCUGCAGAAUUGGUCAAUUUCCCCCUUAAUUGGAACCAUCUUACAAGUUAUCACCAAAAGUAGAAUGGGUAUCUCGGUGGGAGAAGAAGCAACACGAUCUGCAGAAUUGGUCAAUUUCCCCCUUAAUU